rnacentral:rRNA from 1 species
CCUACGGGGCGCAGCAGUGAGGAAUAUUGGUCAAUGGGCGAGAGCCUGAACCAGCCAAGUCGCGUGAGGGAGUACUGCCCUAUGGGUUGUAAACCUCUUUUGUCGGGGAGCAAAAGCCGGACGUGUCCGGCUGUGAGAGUACCCGAAGAAAAAGCAUCGGCUAACUACGUGCCAGCAGCCGCGGUAAUACGUAGGGGGCAAGCGUUAUCCGGAUUUACUGGGUGUAAAGGGAGCGUAGGUGGCAAGGCAAGUCAGAUGUGAAAACCCGGGGCCCAACCCCGGGAGUGCAUUUGAAACUGUCUGGC